UCUCCCGAUAUUUUAUUAUCGUAAAUAAUAAAUGAAUAAUAUUUAAGAUUCUCAAGUUAUAUGAAACACGUACGUUUUACGUAUAUUUCAAAUAAACCACUGUUUGAAGUAAUAAAUUUUUCAUAUCUGCUUAAUAUUCAAUAUAGUUCUAAGGAUGUAUUAUUGAUAUAUGAAGUCUCUCUAUUGAAGUCAUUCUAGAAAAUAUUCAGCUGUGAAUACGUACAGAAAGAUACACAUAAUUUUCAAGAGCUUGUCUUUAUGACCUCGAUGGAUCUUUCUUGAGCUUGGUCGCCUUUUGAGGAUGACACUGAAAAUAUAAUACCGACGACAACCAGUCUAACACGGAUCCUUUGUGGUCGUAGUGGGGUCGUAUUUCCCUGGUACAACGUUUAACCACUAGUCUUUUGGAUAGAAUGUCGAUAGACAGGAUAUGGAUCGAAUGACGACAAUUUUGUUAGUUAAAUUAAUCAAAGAGAAUAUAUACAUAAUUUGAAAUAAUUAAAUCUCCUCUCAAUUGAUUAAUGGGAGAUGAAAUAUCGUAAUAAUAUGGAACCAAAUAAUGGGGAAUAAUAUUACAAAAGAAGAUUGUAAUAAAAGAAAUUUUUCAGAGAGCCUUUACUAUUUGUAUCGUUGAAUUAAAAUUACACAGUUAAGUGUGUUUAUUUAGUAUUAGAUCAACAUCGUCAGUGGUUUAAACUUAAUUAUGGUUGGUCUGGUAUUAUAUCUAGUAAUAUUGAUAUAUAACGUAAUGACAUAACUCUGGAAUUAACUCUGGAAAUUACUCACGAGAGAGCAACUAACAAGUGACACUCCUGAGGGCAAUACUUCAAGUGUGUAUAAUAAUAAUUUUUAUUCUUCGAUAUAUAUGACAAUCUUAGUCAUGAUACCUACAACUUAAUCAUUAUACUUAAAAAAUAAUUUCUACGUCGAAGGAAAAUUCACAUGAAUAAUACCCUAAAAGAAAAUACUUGGACAUAGACGGAGGACAUUUUUUUCAAGAUUUUCUUAACGGGCGAAAAAAUUUAAACUAAACCCACAGCCACACCGAACGACAGCCGUCCUCGAAACGCUGCGCGCCUGGUCCUCUAAUUUUUCGUUUUAAUUCACAUCUAAUGGCAUCUUCUCCGCGCUCUCCAAUCCCAGCAAGUCGAGAGAGUGUGUCGUUGGCACUAUUUAUGCAAGCAACGGGAAUCUUUCUACUCUACCUCUUGGGUACAACUCGCAGCCGGCUACAAGGUUGAGUAUUCGAGAAACCACGUUUCGAAGUCGUUCUCGAGGACCUUUUUCAACAGAGGGAAGAGCGUAAGAUGUCAUUGGACGUGAUCUCGGGCAAACAUCACCCACGAGAUUUCCAUACUUAUUUUUUACACGAUGUCAUCGAAGAAAUACACGUUGUUCGAAGAUGACAGAUUUACGAUAACGAAGAUGUGACAAGUAGAUAUAAAUAAAUGCGUGAUAUUUCACUGUAGAGAUAUACUAGAAGCAGAAUUUAUAUAAUAUAAUCAAUAAUUAGCAAAAUUUCAUAUCAUUUCAUAUCAUAAGGUAUCUCACUUAACUUAAAUAUCUCAAUAUCUUUAUUUUUUACGAUAAAAAAAAAUUACACAGAAAAAUAUUAUUUCAUUUAUAGAGACAUAUAUUAUAAUACAUAAAGAUUUCUUUAAAUAUUGAAUAAAUUUAAGUUAG